UCGAAUAUUACGAACCACAGUUUAAAAUUCAAAGAUCUUGGCGGUGUCUUAUAAAACCAGGGGAACCUGUCUCAUAACUCGAUAAUCCACGAUUACCCAACCUCUUUUAGAAAUCCAGCUUGUGUACUGCCGUUGUAAGCAUACCUUUAAAAGAUAGAGUGUGCUUCUAUGAUUUAUUACAACUUAACUCAUAUACAUCAGGUCAAAGUGCAGUCAAUAAAGAGGAGACAAUGGGUUACAACCUAAAAAAAGAUAUGAAACAAGAAAUUAAAAAUAGUGUGAAAAUGGACUUGGCUGUAAUUAAAUAAAAUAUAGAAAAAAUGAAAUUAGCUCUAAGACAUGCACACAU
rnacentral:rRNA from 1 species